GCUUCGGCAGUCAUGCCGGCCACAUGACUUUGGAACUGUCUGCAGACACUGCUGGCUCUUUGGCUUAGAAAUGGAGAUGAGCACCAAUCCCCAGAGUCGGUCACAACUAGACUUAAUGUCAGGGGAAAACCUUUACCUUUAGUUUAUGUAUAAAAUUACUUUCAUGUUAUGUGUAUAAAGUGUAUAUGAAGCGUAAAUGGAUUUUAUGUUCCCAUCUCCAAGAUAUGUCAUUUUGUACAUAUAUGCAAAUUCAAGUAUUUUUAAAAACCCAAAAUAUUUCAAAAUCUGCAACACUUCUGGCCCCAAGCAUUUCAGUAUAAGGGGUAUUCAACCUACUGUCAUUGUGCCUCAUAAAGAUUCCGCAUGUUAUCGACAUUUUUGGCAUUACUAAUAGUUUUCAGUGAUGUUGGAAGUUGGAUGAGAGUGCAAAACAGGUUUGUCAGGAAGACAUAAGUUUGGGAGGCACGAUCCAUUAAAAAUGAUAUAGAGUUUUUUUCGGGUUACGUAAGUAAGCUGUUGCCUCUGGGAUUUGGCAAGGAAUCAUAAUCCUAAUGUGCUUGAGUAGUUUGUAAUAGUUUCAAAAGAGUUCUGUAUGGGGAAAACCUUUACAAAACCGUACAGGAACAGAAUUGUGAUUAAAAUGUAAAACAAAAUUACCGUGCUUUAACUCAACAGAGCUGAAGUGGUGCUUUGGAACAGCCACGCCUCUUGUUUACCCUGUCUCAGUAUGUAGUAGCUGAAGUUAUGUUGGCUGUUGCAAAUGCCACAAUUAUAUAUGAGUAUCUUAAGAGGAUGUUGCAAUCUGUAAUGAAAGGUGUAUGGCAGUCGUUCCAGAAAAACAGCAUGAGGAAGUACGGACUCUUUCAGACUGUGGAGUGAUUGGCAACUAUGGGGUCCUUUUCCCACCUUCUCAUUUAUCUCUGGCUGACGAUGCCUUUCAGUGCAGCAUUUUUAGACUUUUCAGCCUGUGUCUUCCCUUUUGUCUAUAAAAACAAGACAUACCCAACCUGCACCAAGGAUGGAUCUAGGACAGACCAGCUGUGGUGUGCUACAACAAGUAACUAUGACAAAGGGCACCGGUGGAAACCUUGUUAUGAGAAAGGUAGGAGGAUAUUCAUUACUUUGAAAAACUUUUGAAAAGGCCACUACACAACUGGAAUGAAUAAUAAUAAUAAUAUACUCUAUCUAUAUUCCGGUCUUUCUUCCUGAGGGGAGCCAGAGCAUAUUACAGAAUAUAUAUACAGCAAACAUUCAAUGCUGUUAUACAAUAAACAACAAAGACAGACAGUAUAUAGACAGAGGCAAGGCUUCCCUCUUUUUUUCAUUUCCGGAAUCUAGAGUCUGUGCUCGACUCAGCCAUGGGGAGG
rnacentral:lncRNA from 1 species